UGGAGAGUUUGAUCCUGGCUCAGAUUGAACGCUGGCGGCAUGCCUUACACAUGCAAGUCGAACAGCAGCAUGAUCUAGCUUGCUAGAUUGAUGGCGAGUGGCGAACGGGUGAGUAAUAACAUCGGAACGUGCCCUGUAGUGGGGGAUAACUAGUCGAAAGAUUAGCUAAUACUGCAUACGACCUGAGGGUUGAAAGUGGGGGACCGCAAGGCCUCAUGCUAUAGGAGCGGCCGAUGUCUGAUUAGCUAGUUGGUGAGGUUAAAGGCUCACCAAGGCGACGAUCAGUAGCUGGUCCUGARAGGACGAUCAGCCACACUGGGACUGAGACACCNGCCCCAAAUCCCUACGGGA
rnacentral:rRNA from 1 species